GGGGAGGGGGCGCCACCCGGCGUCCACCCGUGCACCUAACCGCAGUGAGGGUGAAAAAUAAAAUGCGUGUAGCCCACCCUGCAACGCUUCCUUUAUAAUGCAUUUUCCCCCUUCUCUGUUCUGUCAUAAUGGAUUUUUGCAACAGCCGCGCAAACCUGCUCUUGGGCACCGGAACCUGGUAACUAAGGGCCUAGGUGGUACCUAGGGGGACAGGCAUUCCUUUACUGCGUAGCUGCAGUAAAGGAGCAUCCCCAAGGCGGGGUGCGGUGUCCCCUGCCCCAGGGCCUCGCCCUCUGCAGGGGUGCGAUUCCUGUGACUCAGCUUUGAGGCCAGGGGAGGCCCUACGCCCCACCCUGGCCCUCUUUGUCUCCUUACUUGCAUUCUCCUAGACUUGGGUGGGAGCCAAAGCACCCUUAAGUGAUUGGGGAAGAAAAAAAAAAAAAGUGUUACAUGCAUUUUUUUUUCAUCGCUAGCACCCAAAUCAAAUAACUGGAAUAUCUGCUGGUUGGCAGUUCAUUUCUCAGGAGUAUAGAGAGCCCGUCGCCUCUCCCUGAGAAAAAAAAAUAAGUCAAGUUCAAGCUCUGCUGUUGCCUUGCUGCCUGGACAAGGAGGAAGUUCUUUUACUUCUGCUGUUCCUUAUUUUCCUGAAUUAUAAAAGUGAUUGCGAAGGAGGCCCCGGGUGGAAGGCCCAAGACUGCAAUCGCACCAUCUCUAACACCCGAAGAUGGAAUUUAAAAGUCGAACUCCGUAUUGCGAAGGGAGGCUCUUGAGCACGAUUCCAUUUUGAAGCGCGCUUCUGAGUCACGUCCGGAGACGCGGGAGCUCCAGGGGCCGAGGAGCAGUUUUCAAAAUGGCCCCUGACUCUGUCCCACGAGGGGCCCUUCCCCCGGCAACUUAGCUGCCAGUACCCGGCGGGGGGGGAAGGGGAAGGGGGGGUGGCGGCUGCCCGGGGCCUGGGGAAGAAAGAAGAAUCAGGUGGUGACUGUUUUUUGGAGGAACAGCACAAUACGCUCCCUCCCUGCGUCCUCAGAAAAUGUUUCCAGGAGCCCCUCGCUGAUCGUGUUUCUGGCAGAGGCUUCGGCCGCCCUGGGGAUUAGAAGCCGUUGUGCGAGAGACCCUGACGAGCCCCAGCAGGAGCAUCUUCGACUUCCCCAUUUCUUCCACGUGGACUUCCUUCUUCUGGGGAGGGAGGGGGAGGGGGCUGCGGGCAGGGGCAGGUGACAGUCUGGGUUCCUGGGUUCCUGCUCCACUGGGCGGCUGCCAUUCUGCUCUCCGAAUGGGGAGGGGGGGGGCCCACCGGGCCUUUGGGGGCAGGCACAGGAUGUCACCUCUGCGGUGACACAUAUCCCCCUGAACCUCGGGCCCGAGAGUCCACUUCAUGGUGGAAACUCAGCAAAGAGCCCACAGGGUGGACUUGUGGCCCCCGUGCAGCUGCCGGCUGCUGCGUGCUGACACCAGCUCUGCCAGGUCUGGGGAGUCCAUUUCCCCUCACCCAGCUGCUGUCAGAAAUCUCGUCUUUUCAAAGGACUGUCACUAAGUUCCCCAGCGUCUCCCCGAGGCCUUUUCCUCCGCGAGGGCUGGAGGGCUGGAGGGCUGGGCCUUGCCGAGCAAGUCUCCAAAGGCCAUGCAGGCCUGGCGAUUCGUAAAUGCCUGGAGCAUUUUUCUAGUUGGCUAACCAGCAGCCCUCCUGCUGCUGCGUUUCGAUUUGGAUCUAGAGAAAGGGUCAGAGAGGGAGGCAGCUGCUGAAAGGGAGAGAGGCUGCCAUGUUGGGCUUUGCCUGGCUGACUUGCCAGAGGUUGGAGAGAGGAUGGAAAAAGCGGGAUUCAGCUGGAAGCAAAUGCAAACGCGGGGACGAGGCCUAAGAGUUGUGGGCCCCGGGCCUGUGAAUGAAUCUUUCCAAGAGGAGUUUGCUCCUCUGUGAAAUGGGAUCAUUGAGUGCUUCAGCCGCCCACCCUGGGCGGUUGCUUCUGACAGCGUGUGACCGUAUGGUUCUUGGUUUGCUUUGUAUUGCUGCUGUUAGUAUUAUUCAGGAUGGAGGGGUGAGAGACAAAGAAUGUUUCUUGUUUGGAAUUGAUCGCGAAUGUUAGAUGUUUUUAUACUAGUUCUUGCUCUUAUGAAGUUUCAGGAUACUGAGAUGUUCCUGAGAUCUUUGGCGAGGUUUCCAGCACAUAAGAAAUAAUUCCGGUCAGGCAUUGCAAUAGGGGCUUUAUGUUUGUUUUCGCCUUUCAUGCCCACGGCCUUUCCAUAAGGAGAGGUUUAAAGAUGGAGAGACGGGGGGCUUAGAGAUGCCAGUAGCCGCUCUGUACUAUUGAUGGUAAGGGGUACAGGAAAAUCUUCACCCCUGGGCCCGGAGUCUGCGCCCAAGACUCACCAGGAAUAGCAUGCGGCAGGCUGUGCUUGCUUUCCCACAAUGCCUGGUGCCUAAGAGUUGCUCCGUCAACAGCAAAAGACAGCUUGGAAAGGCCUGGCUGCCCUGAGGAUGGUCCUUGCACCCGGCUGGGCCCUACUCAGCACUGGUGGUUCCAGCCCCCGUGCUUUCUUCUCAUUAGUCCUUUGAGUAUUGAGGUUUCAGGGGUCCCUCCUGCCUCCAGGAAGCUGGCGUCUCUAAGUGCGUUAGCAUGUGCUAGGCGACCACUGGAGGUGGGAGGUCUCAAGCCCAAGAAAAGACAGGCUUGGAGGGACAGAAGGUGGGCAGGGUGGGCUCGGGGCUCUCUGGUGAAAGGUGAGUAGACAGCCCACCUGGCCCAGGCCCUCCCUUCCUCAUCGCGGGGGCCAGAGACCCUGUGAAAACUGUGCCAAGAGAGUCUGCAGUGCAAGGCGGCCCCCUGCACGCCCGUGCCCAGGGAACCAGGAAGCGGUGUCAGGGCACACUGUGUUUUGUGUUGCUUUCUGCGGUGGCCCGGGGACAGAUCUGUAGCUAUUUCCAAAAGGCUGGGGAAAUAGCCCUUGGAAUCAGAGCUCCGGAAAAUUCUUUUUGUUAUUUUUAACCUAUUAUAUUUUGUGCGGAGCCCUGACCGGAGAAGAGGAAGAAGAAGAAGAGGGACAAGACCAGGCUCCCGACUCUGCUCUCGGGGGCCCAGGUCCCUGUGCCUGAGUUUCGGGGCCUCCCACCACCUGCCCCUACCUGCCUCAACCCACCGGCCCCCCCUGUGAGCCUGCAGGCUCCAUCUGUUCAUCCAAAUCCCCGGAGAGACACAACCCCCCGGAUGACAGGGUGACGAUAUUUAGUGAACUGGCCACAGGGCAGACCCUUUGUUAAAGCCUCUCAUGCACAGCCUCUGAGUCUAAUCUCACCCUGUGCCGUGGCUACUCAUGUCCCCAUUUUACUGCUGAAGAAACUGAGGCUCAGAGAAUUUAAGCAACUUGCUCAAGAUCUAGCUCCCCAGGCCGCGUCCUCCCCUGGAGGCCCAUCUUGGUAGCUCCUCGCUGUACUCAAUGCACCGGAACAGAAGGUGCCCCCAGCUAAGGGGCUAAAAAGGAGGGGAUGGUACCAGGAGCCUGGAGGAGAGUCAAAGAACAUUCUCGAGCUCUUCAGACCCUGCGGUGCUAACUUUCCAGUCCACUUUGCGGCUUUGGUGGCAUCUUAGCGCCAAAGGGAACUUGACAGGGGGCUCUCAUUCAACCCAGUUCCCUAUUGCGGCUUAAAUUCGCCACUGCAACAUCCCCUCCAAGUGGCUGCUCAGCCUCCUCACAGCAAGGGCAACGAUAAGAAGGCAGAGAAUCUUCAAGAAGAUGCAGAGGGAGCCUUCUCAGGGAAAGAAUCCCAUUGACAUAAUUUCCAUCAAAGCAAGAAGAAGAGGAUGUCACCUUUUCACACAAAGCCCAAAUAUGGGGCAAAUGAAAGCACCAGGAAAAAGGAACUGCGGAGGACAGAGGUGCCUUGCCGUUAUGGACUGAACGUUUGUAUGAAUGUGGUUGUCUAUAAGCCACGAAGCGGGCCCUCACAGGAACCCAAUCUGCCUGCGCCUGGAUCUUGGACUCCCCAGCCUCCAAAAUGGUGUGAAAUAAAGGUCUUCUUAAGCCACCCACCCUAUAGUACUUUGUUAUAGCAACUCGUGCUAAGAGAUUUGCCUACCUGCCUACUUGAAGGUAAUGCUAAGACCCAGUUAGAAGUUAACAAAAAUAAAGAUGCAUUUUUCCCCUAAAUUUAUGGAUUCUCUCCAGAGAUCUCUUGAAUGUCUGUGGACCCCAAUUUAUCAAAAAGAGAGCUCUCUUGAAUUAGAGAAGUUACCAACAGGGUUUCUGAGACAGAAUGGAAGAGAUGGCUUGGCUACCAAUAAACCAUUUAAACCAGUGAAUACCUCCGCUUUGGACAUUUAAUUGACCAUUUCUCCCUGCGUGCUAAAUUCUGCAUGGCCUAAAUUCCCCAGUCUAGAGCAGCAGAUUACCUAAAAAGGUUUAGGUACCAGCUCAAAGGAACCAGCACAUUGGACAAAAGUUGGGGAAAGGAAAAAAGAACAGACCAGCUUACAGCUUAAAGGUGUCACCUUACAUUCUGGGCUUUAGUAAUUCUUACGUAAUACAACUGGCAUUUAUCUGGUAUUACUGAACUUUAUUGGUGCAUUUUCUCAUUUUGGGUGUCAUUUUAUCCUUAAAGCACCCAUAUGCAGAUAAAGCGGAUAGGUACUGGUAUCAAUCUCUCACUCAGCACAGAGAAGUUUAGUGACCUGCCCAACGGUACUCAGCUGGUGAGCAGAGCCAAAAGCAGAAACCCAGACUCCUUGCUUACAACUGUGCGCCUCUAGUCCUUUAGGCACGGUUUUAGGUCCUGGAGCUCAGAUAAUGGAUACCUCAGGGGAAAAAAAAGAAAACAAAUAUAUAUAUAUUCAGUCAUUUAUGAAACUCAGUCUCAGGGCAGUAUUAUAACUAUCUGUAGGAUGACUGCUUGGUGCUAAGAGUUGUUCCCAU